UACAGAGGGUGCAAGCGUUGUUCGGAAUUACUGGCGUAAAGCGAGUGUAGGCGGCUUAUUAAGUCAGAUGUGAAAUCCCUUGGCUCAACUGAGGAACUGCAUCUGAAACUGGUAAGCUUGAGUGUCGGAGGGGAUGGUAGAAUUCCUGGUGUAGAGGUGAAAUUCGUAAGAUAUCAGGAGGAAUACCUGUGGCGAAGGCGACCAUCUGGAAGGCAACUGACGCUGAGACGCGAAAGCGUGGGGAGCAAACAGG
rnacentral:rRNA from 1 species